GAUGAACGCUGGCGGCGUGCUUAACACAUGCAAGUCGAACAGAAAGGCUCCUGCUUGCAGGGGUACUCGAGUGGCGAACGGGUGAGUAACACGUGGGUGAUCUGCCCUGCACUUCGGGAUAAGCCUGGGAAACUGGGUCUAAUACCGGAUAGGACGAUGGUUUGGAUGCCAUUGUGGAAAGUUUUUUCGGUGUGGGAUGAGCUCGCGGCCUAUCAGCUUGUUGGUGGGGUAAUGGCCUACCAAGGCGUCGACGAGUAGCCGGCCUGAGAGGGUGUACGGCCACAUUGGGACUGAGAUACGGCCCAGACUCCUACGGGAGGCAGCAGUGGGGAAUAUUGCACAAUGGGCGCAAGCCUGAUGCAGCGACGCCGCGUGGGGGAUGACGGCCUUCGGGUUGUAAACUCCUUUCGCUAGGGACGAAGCGCAAGUGACGGUACCUGGAGAAGAAGCACCGGCUAACUACGUG
rnacentral:rRNA from 1 species